CUUGCAGGCAGCGGUUUGGGUGAGGGUGUGGGGCUGGGGGCAGCCGCUGAGGGUGGUCCCCGCCCUGCCCGGGGAGGAGCGCGGCUGCCCCGGGGCCCCCCACGCCACUGUGGCGGGAGUUUUUAAUGCCACCCACGAGAUAUCAAUCUCUGCUCCCUCCAAGACAAAUGCCGUGUCAGGCCGGCUGCCUGGACCCCUUAUUUAUCACCAUUUAAUAUAUAUUAAAGCGCUCACACCUCUGAUUGCCAAAACAAACAAAAAAAAACUGCAUCAAUCACAGGCCGGCAACAGUCGGGAGGCAGGUGGGGCGCUCAGGGUGUCCCCUCCGGCCCAAACUCCCUUGGCCUCCCUGCCCUAGCAGAGGCCCGGUAUCCUCCUUCGGCCCAGGUCACCCCCUACCACGUGCAGCGAUGCCCCGUGGGCAGGCCAGCUCUCCCCACUCCCUCCCCCAGCGAAGCCAUCGCGGUGCAGAGGACACAAGGCACAGAGGGCUUGGCCUGUAGCCAGCAAGAGUUCAAGAAGACACGGCGGCCUGGCACCACUUCCUGACAGAUCUCCGAACCCAUCACGGCCACCCUGUCCCAGCAGGGAGCUGGGGCCCCGUGGCCUCCGUGUUAGGAUGGGGAAACGGCAUAGUUGUGAUGGACCCAGGGCAGACUCUUUCACCUGGAGAAACGGACCCAAUUCCAGGGAAAUGUUGAAAUACAGAGCAGCGAUUGUAGUCGGAGACGGUGGGGAGUGGACAGACCUUUUCCUGUCAGGAGGAAUUGCCCCUUUUCAAUAUCACUUCUCUGCAAGAUGUCGGAGCCAUGGGGUCAAACGUGCCAAGGACGUUCCUGCAGGCUUCGCUCAGGGCAGGGGCAGAGGGGCACUCGAUGCCAGUCACCAAAGGCACUGACAAGUGCUGUUGUAAAGAACAUGACUUGGUUUGAGUCCUGAGUUCUCCAGAUCAGUGUGAGCAGGAGCCCCUUGCUUUCGAAGCACCCCCAUUACCUUCCCGGGGUUGGAGGAGGGGUGGAACUUCCUUCUCCCCUCCUGGGGUCACACCCCGUGCCAGGUUCUGGGAU
rnacentral:lncRNA from 1 species